UCUGUCUUAUCGACAAGCGGUCUCACUAGAGUGCCCAACUUAAUGCUGGCAACUAGUGACAAGGGUUGCGCUCGUUGCGGGACUUAACCCAACAUCUCACGACACGAGCUGACGACAGCCAUGCAGCACCUGUCUCGACGUCUCUUGCGAGAACUCCUACUUUCAUAGGAUAGCGUCGGAUGUCAAGCCCAGGUGAGGUUCUUCGCGUUGCCUCGAAUUAAACCACAUACUCCACUGCUUGUGCGGGCCCCCGUCAAUUUCUUUGAGUUUUAACCUUGCGGCCGUAAUUCCCAGGCGGAUCACUUAACGCGUUGGCUACGACACCGGAAGGGUAAGUUCUCCCGACAUCUAGUGAUCAUCGUUUACAGCGUGGACUAC
rnacentral:misc_RNA from 1 species